UCAGCCUAGAGAGCACUGAGUGACAGAUACUGUAAACAUCCUACACUCUCAGCUGUGGACAGUAAGGAGCUGGGAGAAGGCUGUUUACUCUCUCUGCCUUGGAAAUCAACUAAAGAGAACU
rnacentral:pre_miRNA from 13 species